GGGAUCUGGUGCUGACACUACUAUGGGGUACUAAACCUGAUGCUUUGUUGGUCUGAAGGAGAGCUGAGAAUUUGAUUAAACUUGAUGGUCACGAUAUAUAUUGCUCCAGACAGGAGAAAUUUGUAUCUCUGAGCAUGAUUGAAGGUUGGACAACAUGUGUUUGACAUUGUGAAGCUGCUGCCUUUGAACUACAUCUUAUGAUUGAGGUACAAUACAAUGUGAGGUUCAUACAGACAAUCAAAUCUCUCUAGCUCUCUAAUCAGGGGAAUGAAGACUCCAAUAUUGUUCCAUGUAACAUCACGGAAUGACUGGUUUCUGGCUGGAUGGUCAUCCCUUUA